CUAGAGAUAGAGAGAUAGCUAUAGGGGAUACAGGUGGUGCAUGGUUGUCGUCAGCUCGUGUCGUGAGAUGUUGGGUUAAGUCCCGCAACGAGCGCAACCCUUGUCGCUAGUUACCAUCAUUAAGUUGGGGACUCUAGCGAGACUGCCUCUGCAAGGAGGAGGAAGGCGGGGAUGACGUCAAAUCAUCAUGCCCCUUAUGACCUGGGCUACACACGUGCUACAAUGGACGGAUCAAAGGGAAGCGAAGCCGCGAGGUGGAGCGAAACCCAAAAACCCGUUCUCAGUUCGGACUGCAGUCUGCAACCCGACUGCACGAAGUUGGAAUCGCUAGUAAUCGCGAAUCAGAAUGUCGCGGUGAAUACGUUCUCGGGCCUUGUACACACCGCCCGUCACACCAUGAGAGUUGGUAACACCCGAAGCCGGUGGCUUAACCGCAAGGAGAGAGCUGUCUAAGGUGGGACUGAUGAUUAGGGUGAAGUCGUAACAAGGUAUCCCUACGGGAACGUGCGGCUGGAUCACCUC
rnacentral:rRNA from 1 species